AGGACGAACGCUGGCGGCGUGCCUAAUACAUGCAAGUCGAACGGUCUUUCUAUGGAAGCUUGCUUCCACUGAGAAGAUAGUGGCGAACGGGUGGGUAACACGUGGGUAACCUGCCCAUAAGAGGGGGAUAACAUCCGGAAACGGGUGCUAAUACCGCAUAGUUUUUCUUGAUCGCAUGAUUGAGAAAGGAAAGACGGCCUUUGUGCUGUCGCUUAUGGAUGGACCCGCGGCGUAUUAGUUAGUUGGUGAGGUAAUGGCUCACCAAGACGAUGAUACGUAGCCGACCUGAGAGGGUGAUCGGCCACAUUGGGACUGAGACACGGCCCAAACUCCUACGGGAGGCAGCAGUAGGGAAUCUUCCGCAAUGGACGAAAGUCUGACGGAGCAACGCCGCGUGAGUGAAGAAAAGGGUUUUCGGAUCGUAAAACUCUGUUGUCAGAGAAGAACAAGUUGGAGAGUAACUGCUCCAGCCUUGACGGUAUCUGACCAGAAAGCCACGGCUAACUACGUGCCAGCCGCAGC
rnacentral:rRNA from 1 species